UUGGACUAUGGUGUAAUGGUAGCACAACAGGUUUUGGUUCUGUUUGUCCAAGUUCGAAUCUUGGUAGUCCAACGAA
rnacentral:tRNA from 3 species